UCCUCGGUAGCUCAGUCGGUAGAGCAAUCGGCUGUUAACCGAUCGGUCGCAGGUUCGAGUCCUGCCCGGGGAG
rfam:Thermosinus carboxydivorans Nor1 ctg33, whole genome shotgun sequence.